rnacentral:rRNA from 1 species
CCUACGGGAGGCAGCAGUGGGGAAUCUUGCGCAAUGGGCGAAAGCCUGACGCAGCAACGCCGCGUGCGGGAAGAAGGCUUUCGGGCUGUAAACCGCUUUCAGCAGGAACGCAAAUGACGGUACCUGCAGAAGAAGGAGCGGCCAACUAUGUGCCAGCAGCCGCGGUGAUACAUAGGCUUCAAGCGUUGUCCGGAUUUAUUGGGCGUAAAGAGUUCGUAGGCGGUCGAGUAAGUCGGGUGUGAAAAUUCUGGGCUCAACCCAGAGACGCCACCCGAUACUGCUUGACUUGAGUUCGAUAGGGGAGUGGGGAAUUCCUAGUGUAGCGGUGAAAUGCGCAGAUAUUAGGAGGAACACCGGUGGCGAAGGCGCCACUCUGGAUCGAUACUGACGCUGAGGAACGAAAGCAUGGGUAGCAAACAGGAUUAGAUACCCUGGUAGUCCAUGCCGUAAACGGUGGGCACUAGGUGUGGGUUUCUAUUAACGAAAUCCGCGCCGUCGCUAACGCAUUAAGUGCCCCGCCUGGGGAGUACGGUCGCAAGACUAAAACUCAAAUGAAUUGACGG